rnacentral:rRNA from 1 species
AUGAGGUUCUCUCUCUAUAUAAGCAUUUUCCUGCCAUGGUCCACACUUAGUUCUCUAUGCCUAUUCGUGUGCUUUCGUGUUGACUCUGCUGGAAAGUAUAUCUCCAAGAUGUUGCAUCGUGUCCUUGUUAAGCAGGGUACUCUUAUUCAGUUCUCUUUUCGUGGUGCUCACACUCAGAAUGGUGUGGUUGAGCGCAAGCAUCAUCAUCUUCUUGAGAGAGCUCGACCGUCACCUCUCUUCCGCCUCACUUUUGGGCUGAGGUUGUUUCCACUACCACCUAUCUCAUCAACAUUCAACCCUCAACUGCUCAAUAGGGUGGCAUUCCUUUCGAGCGUCUUUUUGAUAGUUCUCCUGAUUAUUCGACGCAUCAUUUGUUUGGUUGUGUUUGCUAUAUUGUUGCCCCGCAUGAACGCACCAAACUGA